CGCACAUUGCGCCCAUUAGUAUUCUAGUGGGCAUGCCUGUUCGAGCGUCAUUUCAACCCUUAAGCCCUUGUUGCUUAGCGUUGGGAGCCUACGGCACCGUAGCUCCCCAAAGUCAGUGGCGGAGUCGGCUCACACUCUAGACGUAGUAAUUUCUCACCUCGCCUAUAGUUGGACCGGUCCCUUGCCGUAAAACGCCCUAGUUUUUAAAAGGUUGACCUCGGAUCAGGUAGGAAUACCCGCUGAACUUAA
rnacentral:misc_RNA from 1 species